GGAUGCGAUCAUACCAGCACUAAAGAACCGGAUCCCAUCAGAACUCCGAAGUUAAGCGUGCUUGGGCGAGAGUAGUACUAAGAUGGGUGACCUCCUGGGAAGUCCUCGUGUUGCAUUCC
rnacentral:rRNA from 1 species